GGGGAGUACGAUCGCAAGAUUAAAACUCAAAGGAAUUGACGGGGCCCCGCACAAGCAGCGGAGCAUGCGGCUUAAUUCGACGCAACACGAAGAACCUUACCAAGGCUUGACAUAUACAGGAAUACGGCAGAGAUGUCGUAGCCGCAAGGUCUGUAUACAGGUGGUGCAUGGUUGUCGUCAGCUCGUGUCGUGAGAUGUUGGGUUAAGUCCCGCAACGAGCGCAACCCUCGUUCUGUGUUGCCAGCAUUUAGUUGGGGACUCACAGGAGACUGCCGGGGUUAACUCGGAGGAAGGUGGGGAUGACGUCAAAUCAUCAUGCCCCUUAUGUCUUGGGCUGCACGCAUGCUACAAUGGCUGGUACAAACGGCUGCAAUACCGCAAGGUGGAGCGAAUCCGAGAAAGCCAGUCUCAGUUCGGAUUGGGGUCUGCAACUCGACCCCAUGAAGUCGGAGUUGCUAGUAAUCGUAGAUCAGCAACGCUACGGUGAUACGUUCCCGGGGCUUGUACACACCGCCCGUCACAUCACGAAAGUCGGUAACACC
rnacentral:rRNA from 1 species